rnacentral:misc_RNA from 1 species
AAGUCGUAACAAGGUAACCGUAGGUGAACCUGCGGUUGGAUCAUUAGUGAAUUGUAAGCGAAGGUGGUUAGGUCCCAAUUGAUUUUGAGUCUGCCCCUUUGUUUUUUAACCUAUGUGAACUGUUUAUUGUCUCUGGUAGGGCUUAUAGGAUAAUUUGCUUCUGGAGGUUUCUCUUAUUGCUUAUCAGCUUUUGUUUUUUAGUUUAAAAACUAGGAGAUUUAAGUUGGACUAAGACUUCAUCGUUGAUUUUUGCAACGAUAUUGACUUUCUUGAUAAGGGAGAUCUUUACCUACUUUGUAUCCAUGAAACUCGUGUUUUUUACUAUUUUAGUCUUGAAUUGAAUAUUAAUAUUUUAUAUUAAUUUUGAACAACUUUUGACAACGGAUCUCUAGGCUCUC